AUCCUCUAGAGAUUCCUACGGGAGGCAGCAGUAGGGAAUAUUGGACAAUGGGUGCAAGCCUGAUCCAGCCAUGCCGCGUGCAGGAAGAAGGCCUUCUGGGUCGUAAACUGCUUUUACCGGGGGAUAAAAAAGUCUUGCGAGACGAAUUGAAGGUACCUGGUGAAUAAGCCACGGCUAACUACGUGCCAGCAGCCGCGGUAA
rnacentral:rRNA from 1 species